rnacentral:misc_RNA from 1 species
AUUCUUAAUAAAGACAGAG